GUGCUUGCUUCGGCAGCAUAUGUACUAAAAUUGGAACAAUACAGAGAAGAUUAGUGUGGCCGCUGCGCAACGAUAACUUGCAAAUUUGUGAAGCGUUCCCUCAUAUU
ensembl:snRNA U6 U6 spliceosomal RNA